rnacentral:siRNA from 1 species
UCAACUUCAGGGUAUUGUGUCU